AGAGUUUGAUCAUGGCUCAGAACGAACGCUGGCGGCGCGUCUUAAGCAUGCAAGUCGAACGGCAAGGAAGUGCUUGCACUUCCCUAGAGUGGCGGACUGGUGAGUAACACGUGGGUGACAUACCUUUUAGUUGGGGAUAGCUAUUAGAAAUAGUAGAUAAUACCGAAUGUGACCAUUACAGUUAGAGUGUAAUGAGGAAAGGAGCUAAGGCUCCGCUAGAAGAUUGGCCCGCGGCCCAUUAGCUAGUUGGUGAGGUAACGGCCCACCAAGGCAAUGAUGGGUAUCCGGCCUGAGAGGGUGAUCGGACACAUUGGGACUGAGAUACGGCCCAGACUCCUACGGGAGGCAGCAGCUAAGAAUAUUCCACAAUGGACGAAAGUCUGAUGGAGCGACGCCGCGUGGAUGAUGAAGGCCGAAAGGUUGUAAAAUCCUUUUAAACUGGAAGAAUAAUCAUGGUAGGGAAUGAUCGUGAGGUGACCGUACAGUUUGAAUAAGCAACGGCUAAUUACGUGCCAGCAGCCGCGGUAACACGUAAGUUGCGAGCGUUGUUCGGAAUUAUUGGGCGUAAAGGGCAUGUAGGCGGUUUUGAAAGCUUGAUGUGAAAUCCCACAGCUUAACUGUGGAACUGCAUUGAGAACUACAAGACUAGAGUUACUGAAGGGAAACUAGAAUUCCAAGUGUAGGGGUGAAAUCUGUAGAUAUUUGGAAGAAUACCAAUGGCGAAGGCAAGUUUCUGGCAGAUAACUGACGCUGAGGUGCGAAGGUGCGGGGAGCAAACAGGAUUAGAUACCCUGGUAGUCCGCACAGUAAACGAUGUACACUAGGUGUUUGACCAUGAGGUUGGGUGCCAAAGCUAACGUGAUAAGUGUACCGCCUGGGAAGUAUGCCCGCAAGGGUGAAACUCAAAUGAAUUGACGG
rnacentral:rRNA from 1 species